rnacentral:rRNA from 1 species
UGUCUAUUAAUUGUAGACCAGUAUGAAAGGCCACAUGAAAGUCAAACUGUCUCUUGUAAUUAAUCAAUUAAACUGAUCUCCCAGUACAAAAGCUGGAAUAUCCAUAUAAGACCAGAAGACCCUGUGAAGCUUAAACUAACUUAUUAAACCCACUAAUAACUACUUUCAGUUGGGGCGACUUUGGAACAAAACAAAACUUCCAAAUAAUAUGAAUAAUCCCUCAUACCAUAGGCCAACAAGCCACCACAAGACCCAGUAACACUGACAAUUGAACCAAGUUACUCCAGGGAUAACAGCGCCAUCUUCUUUAAGAGCCCAUAUCAAAAAGAAGGUUUACGACCUCGAUGUUGGAUCAGGACACCCAAAUGGUGCAGCCGCUAUUAAAGGUUCGUUUGUUCAACGAUUAACAGU